GAUGAAGAAUGUAGCGAAAUGCGAUAAGUAAUGUGAAUUGCAGAAUUCAGUGAAUCAUCGAAUCUUUGAACGCACAUUGCGCCCGCCAGCAUUCUGGCGGGCAUGCCUGUUCGAGCGUCAUUUCAACCCUCGAGCCCCCCCGGGGGCCUCGGUGUUGGGGGACGGCACACCAGCCGCCCCCGAAAUGCAGUGGCGACCCCGCCGCAGCCUCCCCUGCGUAGUAGCACACACCUCGCACCGGAGCGCGGAGGCGGUCACGCCGUAAAACGCCCAACUUUCUUAGAGUUGACCUCGGAUCAGGUAGGAAUACCCGCUGAACUUAAGCAUAUCAAUAAGCGGAGGA
rnacentral:misc_RNA from 1 species